GCUGCAACAAAGAUCAGAGAGUGUUCCAUUUCCGAAGCCAACCGCGAUUAUAUUCAACGCACACUUAGGAGUGAUUUUCACAAGACAAGUAUCCCAUAAUGUUUUUACUUCCCCUUCAUCGACUGAAAAAACAGGAACAAACGCACACACCAAAGCUACAACAAUGAAUAGCAAAGAAACAUGAGCGCUAAAUUUAGACAUAUUUUCGUUUCCUAAAAUUAGCUUGCUUGAGUUUUCCUUUUUCGUAACGAACAGUGUAU
rnacentral:lncRNA from 1 species